rnacentral:rRNA from 1 species
UACGUAGGUGGCAAGCGUUGUCCGGAUUUAUUGGGUUUAAAGGGUGCGUAGGCGGCGCCGUAAGUCAGUGGUGAAAUCCUCUAGCUCAACUAGAGAUGUGCCAUUGAUACUGCGGUGCUUGAGUGAAGUCGAGGUAGGCGGAAUUGACGGUGUAGCGGUGAAAUGCUUAGAUAUCGUCAAGAACACCGAUAGUGAAGACAGCUUACUAGACUUAUACUGACGCUGAGGCACGAAAGUGUGGGGAUCAAACAGG